rnacentral:rRNA from 1 species
CUUUUCUUGUUAGUUUUUGAAGUAUGGUCUGCCCGCUGACUUUAGGUUGAAGGGCCGCGGUAUUUUGACCGUGCAAAGGUAGCAUAAUCAUUAGUUCUUUAAUUGUGAUCUGGUAUGAAUGGCUUGACGAGGCAUGGUCUGUCUUGGAUAGGAUGUGUUUAAUUGAAUUUGGUUUUUGAGUUAAAAUUCUUAAAUGUUUUUAUGGGACGAGAAGACCCUAUAGAGUUUAACAUUCGGUGUUUAGCUUGGUUUGGUUUGUUUUUAUUGAUGCUUUGUUUCGUUUGUUUUGUUGGGGUGAUGGGAGGAAUUUUCUUAACUCCUCUUUAUUUUUGGUAUAUUUAUUUGUAUAUGUUUUGAUCCAUUUAUUUUGAUUAUAAGAUUAAAUUACC